rnacentral:lncRNA from 1 species
ACCCUUAAGUGAAUGGAUUCAAGAUUUGUUUAAUUUUGAUAAACGGAUUUGCAUCCUUAAAAGACAAUUUCAAUAUUACAAUUAUUUAAAAUUUUCAUCACUUUCCUAGAAUUUGUAAAGAGAAAAACAACUCUAAUGACUCAUUAAUUAAGAUUGGGAGUAUGCUACUUCCAAGUUUCCAAGAUCUAAGAUUGGAAUACCAUAACAUCGUAAAUCAAACCUAUACCAAAUUUCUUUUGAUACAAAAAUAUGGAAUUGAAUGUAAACUUGAAUCCCAGUCUUUAAGCAAAAUAAAACAUUAAUUUACAGAGAAAAUAACUCAUACCUACCAAAAUCAAACAGAUAAAUGUUACUAGAAUAUUUGUUUUUAAUAUCCUCUUAUUAUUGGAUAAUAAAAUUCUAAAUUGGACCAUCCCAUGUUCCAGCUCAAUGACAGCUGAUCAAACAUGUCCAGCCAGUAAUCAAACUGAUCAAACAUUAAGCAUCUAUGAAAUGAGCAGAUGUAACAAUAGAUUCUGUAGGACAAUUGCAUACCUUGGAUUUUCUAAGCAUCUGUAAAAUCAAAAUGGAUUCAAUGUUUUUCCAUAGUUUCACAGUUAAUAAUACAUCAUGCCAUCCAUCAAAUUUCAGUUUAUCACUUCAUCCCCUUUUCCCCCUUACCCCGUGAACCACCGACACGUCAACACCGGAUACGACACACCGACACGUCAACACCUGAUACGAGACACAACACACAGACACGUCAACAACUGAUACCGGACAUGACAUUGACACAUCAACACAUGAUACCGAAUACGACAUUGAUACUGACACGUUAACACCCAUAGAAUUUUUAAAAAAUAAUAAAUUGAACUUAAUUACGAGAGUCAGUGUCCAACACUGAUUCUGACAUGUCUUUUUUCAGAAGUGUCAUGUUACAUUAUCAAUAUUCAUCUAAAGAAUCAUCCCCAUAGCCCACCAACCCAAUGCUCAAUGGUGAAAUCACUACACAAAAUGCUUAAAUCAGUAAAUCAACCACCUCAUCAAAUUUGAAGUAGUAACAAGUUAAAAACUGAGAAACAAAGGAUUGUGUUUGUAGUUGAAUUGAUCAGAAAACCUCCUAACAAAAAACCUCAAACAAUUUACCCCAAUAAUCCCUCAAUUUAAAGAAACCCUAAAUAACAAACACAUCCAACACUAACCUUAAACAAACUAAUCACAGAAACCCAAUACAAUAAAACAAGCCUAGAAUGAAGGGUAAUUGUAAAUUAGAAAACUUGAAGCAUACCCAUCUUAGAAAAAAGUAAAAUAGAGUCAACCAACUUGGAAGGGACCAAUAUCACCAGAACGGAGAGAAGAAGCAAAUUCAUCAGCAACAGUUAAGCAAGAAGUGAUCCAACCAGCGAGAGCUAACCAAGUCAUCUUAGCGAUGUAGAUAGCAGCGUUGAGAGCCAUUGCCAUGGAAAUCGAAUGGUUUCUUCAAAGAAGAAGAAAUUGUAGGGUAGUAGUCAUGAUUCAUGAACAUGUCCUUCUAGAAGAAAAGUAGUUGUGUGGGUUAUGGUCAAUUUAUUUCGCAUUUCUCUCUCUUAAAUCAAUAAUACCCUUAUUCGGAAAAAAUACACUAUUUACGGA